UCCUCACCCCUCACCCCCAACCUUUGCAAAAGAGGUGUGAGGCCUCUUAGGGGACUUGGAAAGUCCUGGAUGAAUUCCAUUCUAACUUAUUUUGAUGUGUAUACAAACCAACUGUUUAGAAAUUCCAUUUGUGCAGAGCCCUACUGUGUUUUUAUGUUCCUGUUUAAAAGAGAAGUUUAGGCUCUCUUCCGCCAUGCUUUAGCAAUAAUUAUAAAUAAAUGAAUAUUCUUU